GGGGGGGGGGGGGGGGGGGCGGGGCGGGGGGGGGGCGGGCGGGGGGGGCGGGGCUGGGGGGGCGGGGGUGGGUGGCGCGGGGGGGCGUGCCCUUAGGUGCGGAGUCACUCCGCGGGAGGGGUGCUGCGACCGGAUAAUGUCUUCGGCCCACAGAGGGCUCGCCUUUGGGUGGGCCCGCUGUGGAUUCGCUAGGUGGGAGGGUAAAAGCAUACCCAGGCGACGCUCCAGAGCUGGUCUGAGAGGAGGAGCGGCCACACUGGGACGGAGACACGGCCCAGACUCCUAAGGGAGGCAGAAGAGGGGAAUAUAGGACAAUGGGCGAAAGCCUGAUAAAGCAAUGCCGCGUGAGUGAUGAAGGCCUUAGGGUUGUAAAGCUCUUUUACCCGGGAUGAUAAUGACAGUACCGGGAGAAUAAGCGCCGGCUAACUCCGUG
rnacentral:rRNA from 1 species